CCAUUAGUGGAUCAAUUGUUGCAGCAGCAUCCGAGGCCAACACAACUAAUCCAAAUUAACUGUAGUAAAACAUAAAAGCUUAUUUACAGACAGAUCUUCUGAAGCGACAUAAUUGCAAUUUUCUUUUACCUAAAAUUUAGGAAGAUAUGAAAUUGAGGCUUUAAACUAACACUAUCUAAUGAAUCCAUGUUUAAACUGGAAACUAGAAACCAGAAAAUGAAACUAUUAAAAGGACAAUGAAGAUUAUGAUUGCCCAAAUUUCCUGAAAUGUAAAAAUGAUAGAUAAUACCCAUUACUUUAAUUUAUAAUGUCCAAUUACAAUUUUAGCACAAGUAGAUGGUAACAGUGAAAAGCAACCCAGGUUUCCUAAGAUGGUGUGUCCUUUUCAAUAUCAAUACUCAUCAUUGUGAUGUAGCAAUUGUGGCAAUAAAUUCAUUUACCAGAAGUCAAAAACGAAAAUGAGAGGUGCUUCUCAAAAUUUUGAGCAUUACAGAGUAAAUAUCAAAAGCCACAAUUUUUUAAAUGCCCACAAUGACAUAUGCUUAUUAAAUCCAUUACAAUGGUCAAUCAGAAACAGAACAAAAAUAACGUAAUCAGAAAAUAAACUAUGAUCAAUUUUUUUUUAAUUAUAUUUUCAUUCUUCAACACACUAAAACUAAACAUAAGCAAAACAUAGAAUAAUAAUAGGUUGAAUUCAAACUAUAAGUCAAAAAAACCUUCAUUUUUUAUUAUAAAAAGCCUACGGAGAGUUAUUACACAAGCAGAAAUAGAUAGUUAGAUAGAUAAUGAAAGAUCUGAAUAAGACAGAUAAGAAUUCAUGAAUCUCAGACCAUAAAUAUUGAACAACAGGGAAAAAAGCGAAGUGGGUUUUGAGCUACCACCACUACUUCAUGUGAAAUCUAGAGCUACAAGCUAAAACAGGAUUAGAAGAGAGACCCAUGAGCCAGAAAUAAAGAAGAAGAAAAUGGGACAGAGAAGAGUAACGAACCUGA
rnacentral:lncRNA from 1 species